rfam:Megamonas funiformis YIT 11815 genomic scaffold supercont1.3, whole genome shotgun sequence.
ACAAAUGCAAUGAACAGGAAAAGUAUAUUUGUGAAGUUUUCAGAGAGUUAUGGUUUGGUGCGACAUAAUAAUAUAGCAAAUAGAAAUACACCUGUGAGCUACUGGCUGAACAUUUAUUUAGUAGGCUUAGUCGGAAUGCCACCGUUAUCAUAGGCUAGGGUAUGUUAGUACCUGAAUAAAGUGGCUUGCUAAUAGCAAGAAGGGUGGUACCACGGGUUAAUUACAGCUCGUCCCUAUU